rfam:Lactobacillus coryniformis subsp. coryniformis CECT 5711 COR000110, whole genome shotgun sequence.
ACGAUAUUCCGCUGCUGCGGUUGCGGCAAGAGUGUCUG